rnacentral:rRNA from 1 species
AAUCAACGCUGGCGGCGUGCCUAACACAUGCAAGUCGAACGAGAAAGUGGAGCAAUCCAUGAGGUAAGUGGCGCACGGGUGAGUAACACGUGACUAACCUAUCCUUGAGUGGGGGAUAACUGAGGGAAACCUUGGCUAAUACCGCAUAACACCUACGGGUCAAAGGAGCAAUUCGCUUAAGGAGGGGGUCGCGGCAGAUUAGCUAGUUGGCGGGGUAAUGGCCCACCAAGGCGGUGAUCUGUAUCCGGCCUGAGAGGGCGCACGGACACACUGGAACUGAAACACGGUCCAGACUCCUACGGGAGGCAGCAGUGGGGAAUUUUGCGCAAUGGGGGAAACCCUGACGCAGCAACGCCGCGUGGAGGAUGAAGUCCCUUGGGACGUAAACUCCUUUCGAUCGGGACGAUUAUGACGGUACCGGAAGAAGAAGCCCCGGCUAACUUCGUGCCAGCAGCCGCGGUAAUACGAGGGGGGCGAGCGUUGUUCGGAAUUAUUGGGCGUAAAGGGUGCGUAGGCGGUUUGGUAAGUCUUGUGUGAAAUCUUCGGGCUCAACUCGAAGUCUGCACGAGAAACUGCCGGGCUUGAGUAUGGGAGAGGUGAGUGGAAUUCCCGGUGUAGCGGUGAAAUGCGUAGAUAUCGGGAGGAACACCUGUGGCGAAAGCGGCUCACUGGACCAUAACUGACGCUGAGGCACGAAAGCUAGGGGAGCAAACAGGAUUAGAUACCCUGGUAGUCCUAGCCCUAAACGAUGAUCGCUUGGUGUGACGGGUACCCAAUCCCGCCGUGCCGAAGCUAACGCGUUAAGCGAUCCGCCUGGGGAGUACGGUCGCAAGGCUG